rnacentral:rRNA from 1 species
CCUACGGGCGGCAGCAGUGGGGAAUAUUGGACAAUGGGCGAAAGCCUGAUCCAGCCAUGCCGCGUGUGUGAAGAAGGCCUUCGGGUUGUAAAGCACUUUCAGUGGGGAAGAAAGCCUUGGGGCUAAUACCCUCGAGGAAGGACAUCACCCACAGAAGAAGCACCGGCUAACUCCGUGCCAACAGCCGCGGUAAUACGGAGGGUGCGAGCGUUAAUCGGAAUUACUGGGCGUAAAGCGCGCGUAGGCGGUCUGAUAAGCCGGUUGUGAAAGCCCCGGGCUCAACCUGGGAACGGCAUCCGGAACUGUCAGGCUAGAGUGCAGGAGAGGAAGGUAGAAUUCCCGGUGUAGCGGUGAAGUGCGUAGAGAUCGGGAGGAAUACCAGUGGCGAAGGCGGCCUUCUGGACUGACACUGACGCUGAGGUGCGAAAGCGUGGGUAGCAAACAGGAUUAGAUACCCCGGUAGUC